GCUCAAUUUUGAAAUCUCUCAGGUUCCCUGAGCGAAUUGUAGUUUCUAGAAGCGCUUUCGGAGGCAGUCCGGGUAAAAGUCCGUUGGAACGCGGCAUCAUGGAGGGUGAGAAUCCCGUACCUGAUCCGGUGUCUGCUUCUGUGUGAUGCGUUUUCAAAGAGUCGGAUAGUUUGGGAUUGCUGUCCAAAAUGGGUGGUAAAUACCAUCUAAAGCUAAAUAUUGGCGAGAGACCGAUAGCGAACAAGUACCGUGAGGGAAAGAUGAAAAGAACUUUGAAAAGAGAGUUAAACAGUACGUGAAAUUGUCAAAAGGGAAACGCUUGAAACCAGUAUUGCGAUGCGCAAAUCAGUCGUUCCUUAGAACGGUGCACUUUGCGUUUUGCGGGUCAGCAUCAGUUUCGUUCGGAGUAAAAAACUCUUGGAAGGUAGUUCCUUGUGAAUGUUAUAGCCAAGAGUCAUGCUUUGAAUGGGACUGAGGUCUGCAGCUCUGCUUUUGGGAUGUUUUCAGCCCUCUGACGUUUGGUAACGAACAGCUUGCUGAUCGCUGCUAAGUUUAGGAGGCCCUGGAGGCUUACACAACUGAGCUUAGGAUGCUGACGAAAUGGUUUUAAACGACCCGUCUUGAAACACGGACCAAGGAGUCCAACAAUUAUGCGAGUGUUUGGGUGGCAAACCCGAGCGCGAAAUGAAAGUGAAUGCAGGAGGGAUCCGCAAGGAGCACCUUCGACCGGUCUGGAUUUUUUUGAAAGAUCUGAGUAAGAGCAUAAUUGCUGGGACCCGAAAGAUGGUGAACUAUGCCUGAAUAGGGUGAAGCCAGAGG
rnacentral:rRNA from 1 species